rnacentral:misc_RNA from 1 species
UUGGGCAGUGCUGCUAUAGCUGGAAUUUUACCGGUCUCAGCAUUGCAGAUAUCUGAUAAGAGUGGUGUAACAGUGCAAGACAGUCUGAAGGAGAACUCUGUAGGAAUUACUGAAGAAAGUCUAUUGCAACUCAAAUAUGAUCCAAAGUCUGUUUGGGGUUAUGUUGAGGUUCAUAUUGAACAAGGACCUCUACUAGAAUGGGUUGGUUUUCCUCUAGGUGUGGUUAAAGGCAUAGCUGGACAGACACGGCUAAAGGUUGUGGUGAAAGGCUCACAAGGGCAUGCUGGCACUGUUCCAAUGUCUUUACGGCAAGACCCCAUGGCUGCUGCUGCAGAGUUAAUUGUACUGUUGGAAAGGCUCUGUAAAAAUCCUAAAGAUUUUCUGUCUUAUGAUGAUCAGUGCAAUGAUUCAACAAUUGAAUCACUUUCCAGUUCCCUUGUUUGUACUGUUGGGGAGAUAUCCACAUGGCCAAGUGCAAGUAAUGUCAUUCCAGGCCAGGUAACUUUCACGGUAGAUAUACGUGCUAUGGAUGAUAUGGGACGUGAAGCUGUCCUUUAUGAAUUAUCUAAUCAGAUGUAUCAAAUAUGUGAUAGGCGCUCUGUUUCUUGCAUCGUUGAAAGCAAGCACGAUGCAAAAGCAGUGGUCUGUGAUUCCGAACUAAGUUCACAGCUGAAGUUUGCAGCCAAUGUUGCACUCAAGAGAAUGACUGGUGAGAUUCAAGAUGAAGUUCCUAUAUUAAUGAGUGGAGCAGGACAUGAUGCAAUGGCCAUGUCUCAUCUAUCUAAGGUUGGGAUGCUAUUUGUCCGCUGCCGUGGAGGCAUAAGUCACUCUCCUGCAGAGCAUGUGUUGGAUGAUGAUGUCUGGGCUGCUGGGUUGGCAAUCGUGGCAUUUCUUGAGACCCACUUGUAAAUAGAGCAUUCAGUGAUUUUCGUACUGAAAAUAAUUUCUUUCU